rnacentral:rRNA from 1 species
UACGUAGGUGGCAAGCGUUGUUCGGAAUUACUGGGCGUCAAGCGCGCGUAGGCGGCUCUUCAAGUCAGGCGUGAAAGCCCCGGGCUUAACUCGGGAACUGCGCUUGAUACUGUCGAGCUAGAGUGUGGAAGGGGCGAUUGGAAUUCCGUGUGUAGCGGUGAAAUGCGUAGAUAUACGGAGGAACACCAGGGGCGAAGGCGGAUCGCUGGGCCAACACUGACGCUGAUGCGCGAAAGCUAGGGGAGCAAACGGG